UGACCGUGCGAAGGUAGCAUAAUCAUUAGUCUUUUAAUUGAAGGCUUGAAUGAAUGGUUGGACGAAAGAUAAGCUGUCUUUUAUAUGUARUUUGAAUUUAACUUUUAAGUGAAAAGGCUUAAAUUAAUUAAAGGGACGAUAAGACCCUAUAAAACUUGAUAUAAAUUUGAUUUUAUUUAUGGUUUAGGUAAAUAAUAAUUUAAUUAGAUUAAUAUUUCGUUGGGGAGACGUAGAUAUAAAAUGUAACUGUCUGUAAAAUUUAAUAAUUAUUAUUAGUAGUUGAUCCUUCUUUGUGGAUUGAAAGAAUAAGUUACUUUAGGGAUAACAGCGUAAUUUUCUUUGAGAGUUCUUAUCGAUAGGAGUAGUUGCGACCUCGAUGUUGAAUUAAAAUUUUAACUAGGUGUAGCCGCUUAGUUGGUAGGUCUGUUCGAC
rnacentral:rRNA from 1 species